CGUAGGUGAACCUGCGGAAGGAUCAUUAUUGGAUUUUGAAACUUCAGGCUGCUGCUGGCUCUCCUCGGAGGGCAUGUGCACGCUUGUUGUCCAUUAUUUCUCCCACUGUGCACAAAUUGUAGACCUUUCAGUAGGCCUAUGUUGUUUUUCACAAUCUCUGAAUGUAAUAGAAUGGUUUUGAAUCUUGGGAGAUACAAUACAACUUUCAGCAACGGAUCUCUUGGCUCUC
rnacentral:misc_RNA from 1 species